UACGAGGGGGGCAAGCGUUGUUCGGAAUUAUUGGGCGUAAAGGGUGCGUAGGCGGUUUGGUAAGUCUUAUGUGAAAUCUACAGGCUCAACUUGUAGUCUGCAUGAGAAACUGCCGGGCUUGAGUAUGGGAGAGGUGAGUGGAAUUCCUGGUGUAGCGGUGAAAUGCGUAGAUAUCAGGAGGAACACCUGUGGCGAAAGCGGCUCACUGGGCCAUAACUGACGCUGAUGCACGAAAGCCAGGGGAGCAAACAGG
rnacentral:rRNA from 1 species